rnacentral:rRNA from 1 species
AACGAACGUUAGCGGCGCGCCUAACACAUGCAAGUCGCACGAGAAAGGGCUUCGGCCCCGGUACAGUGGCGCACGGGUGAGUAACACGUGGGUAAUCUGCCUUCGAGCGGGGGAUAACAUUUCGAAAGGAGUGCUAAUACCGCAUAAGACCACGGCUUCGAAAGAAGCAGCGGUCAAAGCUGGCCUCUAUACAUAAGCUAGCACUCGAGGACGAGCCCGCGGCGCAUCAGCUAGUUGGUGAGGUAAUGGCUCACCAAGGCGAAGACGCGUAGCUGGUCUGAGAGGAUGAUCAGCCACACUGGAACUGAGACACGGUCCAGACUCCUACGGGAGGCAGCAGUGGGGAAUCUUGCGCAAUGGGCGAAAGCCUGACGCAGCGACGCCGCGUGAGUGAUGAAGGCCUUCGGGUUGUAAAGCUCUGUGGGGAGAGACGAAUAAGUGCAGGCUAAUACCCUGCAUGAUGACGGUAUCUCCUUAGCAAGCACCGGCUAACUCUGUGCCAGCCGCCGCCGUAAAAC